CCCAUCAGAAGGGGAUAACACUUGGAAACAGGUGCUAAUACCGUAUAACAAUCGAAACCGCAUGGUUUUGAUUUGAAAGGCGCUUUCGGGUGUCGCUGAUGGAUGGACCCGCGGUGCAUUAGCUAGUUGGUGAGGUAACGGCUCACCAAGGCCACGAUGCAUAGCCGACCUGAGAGGGUGAUCGGCCACAUUGGGACUGAGACACGGCCCAAACUCCUACGGGAGGCAGCAGUAGGGAAUCUUCGGCAAUGGACGAAAGUCUGACCGAGCAACGCCGCGUGAGUGAAGAAGGUUUUCGGAUCGUAAAACUCUGUUGUUAGAGAAGAACAAGGAUGAGAGUAACUGUUCAUCCCUUGACGGUAUCUAACCAGAAAGCCACGGCUAACUACGUGCCAGCAGCCGCGGUAAUACGUAGGUGGCAAGCGUUGUCCGGAUUUAUUGGGCGUAAAGCGAGCGCAGGCGGUUUCUUAAGUCUGAUGUGAAAGCCCCCGGCUCAACCGGGGAGGGUCAUUGGAAACUGGGAGACUUGAGUGCAGAAGAGGAGAGUGGAAUUCCAUGUGUAGCGGUGAAAUGCGUAGAUAUAUGGAGGAACACCAGUGGCGAAGGCGGCUCUCUGGUCUGUAACUGACGCUGAGGCUCGAAAGCGUGGGGAGCAAACAGGAUUAGAUACCCUGGUAGUCCACGCCGUAAACGAUGAGUGCUAAGUGUUGGAGGGUUUCCGCCCUUCAGUGCUGCAGCU
rnacentral:rRNA from 1 species